AGCAAGUAAGCAAAGUAGUAAAACAGUUAUUAGUGAAUUCCAAUUACAGAAGUAGUAUCAGUUCUAGUCGCAGGAUUCAUCAUCGAUGCAAUGAUCCUUCUCACCAACCUUCAGUAAACCAGUUCUAAUUGUUAGAGACGCUCCCAACAACCAGUCUUUCAUUAAUGUUAAAUUAACCAAGAGAUGUUCAUUGAUUAAACUUUACUAAUAGAGAACUCCAGAGGUGCUCCUAGAGUUUAGUUUACUAACAACAUUGAGAGUUAGAAAGAUCUUAUUAUAACCAACAAACUCAACCAUGUGAUUCAUUUAAAAUAGAUCAUAUACCCUCUUAGUAUGAAUAAUAAAAUACCAUUAGCAUUAAGAUGACUUGAAUAAUUACAGAUUUAAGAUCUCGAAUGGUAGUAUGCUACUAUGUUGUAUGCUCAACGAGCCCUGUUUAACAUACAAUAAGUAAUAAUGGUAGCAUGUGGAGAGAGAUAUAUGAAUACUGAAGUUGAACAAGAACAAAAAUAAAACAAUUAGAUCUCACAAUGCCAAACUAAAACUUCAACUAAAUCUCUAAUUGGAAAUUGUACUUGUUCAACACAACAUAUUAUUUUUAUGAUUACUCAAGAAAUUACAAAGGGAUGAUUGAGAAAGGAUGAAAUCUGCUUGCCGUUUNNNNNNNNNNNNNNNNNNNNNNNNNNNNNNNNNNNNNNNNNNNNNNNNNNNNUAUCUCUGUUGCCGCUAGGGUGCAAGCGUGCUCAAGGGUUAUCUGUGCACGAACUGAUGUUUCUUGCUACUACUAAGGUGUUAGUCUUGCUUAAGGCUUGGUCACGUACUGGCUGUUGUCUUUGUACAAAAUGAGUUCUACUGCACUGGUUUUCUAAAUUUUAGUCUUAUCUCUCAGCGUGCAUUAAAAUAAGUAAAAUGACAUGUGAGAGUAUUGGGAGAAUCGAAUCAACUCGCAUAACGCACUCAACGUUAUACAAUACUGAAACUUAACUGAUUAUAAAACUUUUCCUCUAAUUGAAUCUACAAUCCUAAAAGAAAUGCAAAAAUAAUUACUAGGAAAAAUAAAAUAAGGAAAGGAAAAAUGCCACAAACUUACCAAUAAGUUGAUCUCCACUUCUUAGCUCAAUAAGAUUCCUGAAGACUCUUGCUCAUCGAAGAACUUGAAGAAACUAAAAAUUAACAAAAAGCUAAUGGAAAAAGAGUCUAAACUUUCAAGAAUUUCUCUCAAAUUAAUUUUAAUUGGGGUAUUUACAACCUAGGAGUAAAGAUCUAUUUACAGUAUUCUUUGGGAUAAUUCUAUAUGAUUACAAUCUCUUGAAGAAAUUAAUAAAAUAAUAUCAUAGAUAAAAUUUUAUCUAAUUAUAGGAUAAUUACAUAAUAAAAUAUUCAUUCUAUCCUAUCUAAAUACAAGAUAAUUAAUUAAAUAAUCAUAAGAAUAAAAUUUGUAUUAAAAUAAUAAUUAAAAUAAGAUAAUCCUUAUCCCAUGGUGUGUCCAUAUAAAACACAUGGGAAAAUUAAUUUAGAUAUGUGGGAAUUAAUUUAAAAAAUGGAAAAUUAAAAAGAAUAUUAAAAUAAUUAAGAUAUAUCCUUAUCCUAAGUAAUAGGGCUGCUGGAAAAUUAAAAUAAUAAUAAAAUAAUACUCCCCUUUAUUCAAAUCUUCAAGAUAGCCUUGCCUUCCUUGGACAUCUACCUUGUGUAGACUUUUUCCUCUAAUUUCUUUAUAUUUAUCCCAUUAAAUUAAUUAUUUAGAGUUGUUGUAGCUGUGGAAGCCUUUUUUGAGUAAGAAAGAUUAAAAUAAAUAAAUCCUGAAGCUUAUCCAAGUGGAGGUGCCACUCGGGCUUCAAGGUCGCUCAGAUUAGGCCGCGCAGGGCUGCUGUUGGGUGUGGGCUUAUGGCCACGCAUGUAGGCCCAUAUGAGGUGUGGACCGAAUGGCUAGUGCACACACGUAGGUGCGCGCGCAUGUGGGCUGCCUUCCCCUUGUGUACACUUGUACACGCACCAAGAGUGUGACCUUCUUGGUUUGCACAGCUGCACAGAUUAUGCGUGCGAUCAAAGGAUUUCCAAGGCCUAUUUGUAAUUGGGCUGUGGGCCUCCUUGGCCGUGAGUCUUGACUCUUCUUGGGUCAUGACUUAUUCUCCAAAUCCAUUAAGCGUACUUAGCUCUUAAGCUUUCUUUAGACAAACUUGGCCUAUUCAUUAGAAUAAUCUCAAUUAGGAAAAUAGUCAGGGAUGAAAUUACUUUCCUGUUAUGAGCAAUCCCGUUUAGGAAAUAAAACAAUGUUGGCAUUGCUUUCCUAUUUGGGACGGAACUUGUACGACUUGCGUGUGCACAUCUGUUGUGCUGCAGUGGACUUGCAGAUAAUUAUUUCGUAGGAGUCCAAUUUUCUAAAGGGUUCCUCCUUGAUACAUAAUUACAUCUUUGGAACUAAUUUUAUGCUGUCUAAGAUCACAUCACAAAAUCACUUAAAUUAGAUAGUAAGUAGCUCAAUUAUGCAUUCAAAAUAAGUGAAAAAUAUGUUAUUUAUGUGGAUUAUCAAAUUCUCCCACACUUAUCUUGUGCUUACCCUCAAACACCUCACACUAUGAAUCAAUAACUCUCAAGCUUUCACCUUCAACUCAUAUAUUCCCACUCAUUUCCUCACAACUUGUAUGUUAUAUCUCCAUUCUCGAACUGUAAGUAGAGACAUCAACUAGUAAUUCGUAGGCUUGAGUUUUAUGGAAUCACACUAAUGAAUAAUUAAUUUGACUAUAAGCACAAAAAUGAAAAUAUUUUGCAAUUUUUUUAAACAUGUUUAUUUUUUAUUGAGAAGAAUAGCCUACACCCACAAUAUAACAGUCACACAAAACUUGUCCAUAUAUAAGAAUUUCAUGUAAUUGGUUCAUGUUAGACUAGAAAGUUUAAUUGUAACUAUCUUGAGCAAUUUUAUUGGUUGAUUGAAAUGUCACUAAUCUUUUGACACGAUGACAAACAUUUGUGAUGAAUAUACCUAGUUAUUUAGUUGGUCACAAAUUCACGUGGCUACGAGCGCUACUCAUAGUCAAUUGACUGGAGGAGUAUAUUAUUAUUUUUGUUCUUUAUUUUUUUCUAGUCAUGAACCUUAAGAUUAUUAUACACAUAAAUCCAUAUAGGUUGUAGUGGAGUUUUCUUAAGUAUCGACAUUCAUUCAAUGAUAAGAGAAAAUUAAUUAAAAACAAUCCCUAGACAAGUUAUAUUAAGACAUAUAAUCAAAGAUAACCACUCAUAGUGUAAAAAGAUGAAACAUAAUCUAAAAAUCCUGGAAGAUUAUUAUAAUUACAAUUCAAUUAUUGAAAUAUCACAAUUGGGUUGUUUUGGGAAUAAUUGAGAUAAUAGUGAAAAGCCUGGGUUUAAAAGUGUAAUUGUGGUGUGCCUUGGGCAAUGUUAUAAAAAAUUUAGAAUACAGUAGCGAAUAUUAGAGAAUGCAACAAAGUAUUAAAGGAAAACCUAAAAUGUAGUAUGUCUCUCCCCCGCAUUUAAACUGCACAUUGUUCCCAAUGUGAUGUAUAGAUGGAAUAAUGAAAUAAAUAAAAAUGAAUGGACAAAGUGACUCCCCUGGUUACUUGAGGAAAAGGCGGGUACGUUGGUCAGUAUCAUUUGGACUUGUGGUAAUGGGCGACCUUCACCGUUUGUGCUAUUGAUUGGACUAGCUCAUCGAUUUUGUCCAGCUGUUCUUUUAUUUGGAGACACUUGUUCUCAACAUUGUUUAAGCAGUCAUCCAUCUUUUGUAGUUUCAACAUAAUCACUUAUGGAUGUUGAAUCCACCAAAAAUAAUCUCCUACUCUAACUACAAUUUAAAACUUGUAGUAGUGGCGAAUAGGGUCGAAUCAUGAGAGAAUUGAGAACCACUCUCCUUUUAUGGCCAGUGAUAAAACCAAAGCUGGGUUUCAUUUCAAGAUAACAUAAAGAAUUAAAAUAAAUCAAAUAAACUUAAAAUAGAAUGAUAAAAAUUGUUAUCAGCAAGUGAUUGAAGUAGCAAACAGUUAUGAAUGGAUUUCAGUUAAAGAAGUAGUUUAGAUUCUAGUUGUUGGUUGAUCACUGAUGCAAUGAUUAUCCUUAUUUGACUUUCAAUAAACCAGUUCUACUUGUUGAAAAUGCUCCUAACAACUAAUGUUUCCUUAAUCUUAUAUUAACCAAGAGACAUUCGUUAGUUAGCUCUUGCUAAUAAACAAUUUCGAAGAUGCUCUUAGAAUUUACUUUAUUACCAUUAUUAAGAUCUAGAAAGACAUGAUUAUAGUCAAUGAAUUCAACUGCGUGAUUCAUUCAAACUAGAUUGUAUAUCCUUUUAGUAUGAAACUAAUUCAUCACUAAUUAUUAAAAUAAUGUAAACAAUUAAGGAUUUAGAACUUUUGAAUGGCAGUAUGAUGUUAUGUUUCGUGCUUAACGGACCCUAUUAAAUGACCAACAAAAAAUAAGAAUAAUAUGUGCAGAGAGAUAUGUAAAUAUUGAAGUUUAAAGAAGAACAUAAGUAAAUAAUUAGAUCUCACAAUCCCAAAUUGAAACUUCAACUAAGUCUUUAACUGAAAAGUGUUUGUUCAGUCAUCAUGAUGAGUUCAACACACAAGAGAUUGUUUUGGUGAUUAUAGAAAGAAAGAAUGAUGUAGAAGGAUCAAAUCUGUUAAUGUUGCUGGUAGCCCCCUUCUUUUUUGUUUUACUUUCUAUUUAAAAGCCGAGAGGAUCAAGCUUUCCUCUUGUGAAGAUAGGGUUUUUUAGGUGAUUUCAGCUUUCUUUCUACUUUUCAAAGUCAUUUAAUUUAUUUGAUUUCCCCUUUUUCAAUUGUAACGGGAUCUUCUUUUAAAUUUAAGAGUGCACCAGGAUAUCUGAUGUUACUAGCCCAACCCUUGUUUGAGGCUUGUCUGUGUAUGAUCUGAUACCUACUAACGCUACUUGGAUGUUAGCUUUGCCUAAGGUUCAUCUGUGUAGAAAUCGAUGUUUUCCACUACCACAGGAAUGCAAGUCUUGCCCGAGGCUUGGUAGGAUGUGGACUAAGAUCUGCUACCCUUGCCCGAGGCUUAUGCAAAAACUGAUGACUACUAUUAUUUAUGCACAUUUUUAAACUCUCCCACACUAAUCUUGUGUUUUCCCUCAAGCAUCCCACAGUACCAUUUAAUAGUUCUCAACCUUUCACCUUCACCCCAAUUUUCCCCAACUAUUCCCUCACAACUCGUGUGUCAUAUCUCAAUCCUCAAAUUAUAAAAAUAGUCAUCGACUAGUAAUUUCUAGACUUGAGUUUCAUAAAAUUAAACAACUAAACAACUACUUCGAAUAGUACCCGAGCAUAAAACAAAAAGGUUUUGUAAGUUUUUUAACACAUUUAUUUUUCCUUGAGAAGAAUAAUCAACAUCUAGUAUAACACCCACACCAAACCUGUCCAGAUAUAAGGAUUUCAUGCAAUUAGUUCAUGCAAGAACAGAAAAUUUUAUUGCAACUAAUUUGAGCACUUUUAUUGCUUACCAAAAAUGUUAUCAACUUUUUAAAAUGAGGACAAACAUUUGUGAUGAAUGUACCCAGUUACUUAGUCAAUCAGAAGUUACAAGUGGCUACUAGCACUAUUUAUAGUUAAUUGACUGGUGGAGUAGAUUAUUAUUUAUGCUCGCUCCCCCUUCUUUUUUGAAACUUCUAGUUAUGAACCUUAAGAUUAUUAGACACACAAAUCCAAACAAGUUAUAGUGGAGUUUUCUAUAUUUACUUAAGGGCAAGAAAAAAAAUCAAUUAGAGGCAAUUCCUAAACAAGUUAUGUCAGAACACAUAAUCAAAUAUAGUCAUUUAUGGGCUGAAAAGAGGAAAAACAAGCUAGAAAUCCUAGAAGAUUACCGUGAAUACAAUUAAGUCCUUGAAGUGUCACAAUUGAGUUGUUUUGGGAAUCAAUAAGACAAUAAUGAAAAAUAUGGGGUUUAAAACAGUUGAAAUAUUAUUUUUAGUGGUUUAUCGUGGGCAAAGCUAAAGUAUGCAUCGGUGGGUGUCAUGAGAGAAGUUUGAAUGCAACAAAAAUAAUAUAGCUAAAUAUCAAAAUGGAACCUAAAACGUAGUGUGUCCCUCACCCACACUUCAACUACACAUUGUCCCUAAUGUGAUACAGAGAAAAUGAGUAAUAAAAGGAAAAUGAAGGGAUAUAACUCCCUGGUGUGGUGACUAGGAGGUGUGGCAUACUAGAAGCAUCAUCUAAUUCUAGGGCGAGGGGUAUCCUUUACUGUUUAGCUAUGGAUUGGGCUAGCUCCUCAACCCUUUUGGAUAGUUGGUGGGUCAAAUUCUUGAGGUGAAACAUGCAUCCAUCUAUCUUCUGAACAUGUAGCAAUACUCCUUGCAGGAGUUGGUGGAUCUCGGCUGAUGUAGCUUCGGUGGCAGAAGGUGUGGUGGUAGCAGGUUUUGUGGCUUUCAACUCUGUGUGUUCUUUCUUUUUGCUGUAUACUCACAUGUUUCUAGGAACAAGUGGGCCAAGUAGGGCAAAACAUGGGAUGUCAUGCUUAAGGUGUAGCAGUCCCAUGUCAUCCAAAAAACCCAAAUAUAAGGCAGUUUGAGGGCAAGUUAUGUGCAAGUUAGUCUCUCCUAUAUCAAAUGUAGUGAUGUAGAGGGUAAUUCGGGUGAUGAUGGAUCUUAGAAUUGAUGGCCAUUUGAAGGAAAUGACAUUAGAAAUUGAGAGGUAAACCAAAAACUGAGGUUGACUCUUUUCUUAUUAACCAUACACGAUAGGAAGUAUAACUUGAUUUUGGAGAAGAUACUGGUGCAUCUUUUCGACUAAAAAAUAGUAAGCCAAAGACCUAUGAAUGUAUUUUAUGCAUGGAUUGUGCAAAUAUAAGUCCUUAGAUUUACUAGGGUUAAAUGUCUCCGGUGGAUUGUCGCAGAAUUGGGCAUACACAGUGGUAACAUCAAAGUCAUCACAAAAAUUGCAAUAGGGAUUUUCACGAUUGAAUACAGCUAUGAAAAUAGUUAAAGUGUUUGCCUAAAAAAUGGAAAGAAACUAGAUUAGGUGUGUGAAAGGUGAAAUCGGCCGGUUUAUAAAACUUAAAGGUUGUGUAAAACUCCCUAACUAGUUCUACAUAUGCAGGUAUGUCAACCCCAAAGUAGUCUUCCUAGCCAAUGUUACAAAUCAACAUAAGUACCCAUUGUCUAAUUUUUAGGGUUUCGAGAGUAAGGUGAUGGACAGACUUACAUGAUAUGAUGGGGAGUUUAUAGACUUCCAUAUAUCAUUCAUUCUCUAAAACCUCUUAGAACAUGAGGUGGUUGUGCAACUCGGAUUCAACCACUGAGAGGAUGUGUUUCCCCUUUUUAACCCUUGCUCUCUUUCGGGCUCGCUCGGCUUCAGCAUCUUUGUUUGCAGGCUCUUGGGCCAUGGGUUGGUACGUGUGUGGUUGUUCAUUAUCAUAGCUCGUUUCAGGGUUUUUUUACUCCUUGGUUGGAGAGUCAAGAACGUCGAAUACAUGGUUGCAGCGUUGUUGAUUGGGCAUUGCAGAGCCGCUAGCGCCAUGAGGUAAAACAUGUUCCUCUUUUGGAAUAUAGAGUUCGAGUGUUGCUAGAGGCGUCUGUGUUUGCGUCGUUGUCUCACAAAUGGUGUGCUGUUUUGAUGUGAGCAAUAAGAGGGAAAAUAAUUUCUUUAAAGGGAGAAUCAAACAAGAAUGAAGACUUUUUCCCAAAUAAUGUGAUAUCUUAAAGGAAGAGAAAAUCAAAUCUCAUUUCUUAAAAA
rnacentral:lncRNA from 1 species